rnacentral:tRNA from 1 species
AAUACUAUGACUGAUAAAAGUGAUAAAUUGUAAAUUUAUUGAUGAAAUUAAAUAUUUCUAGUAUUA